rnacentral:rRNA from 1 species
UGGCGCCAAGCUUCUGGCAUUCUCUGUGACAAGAGAGUGCCACAAAAGCUAAAAGGCAAGUUCUACAGGACGACGGUUCGACCCGCAAUGUUGUAUGGCGCGGAGUGUUGGCCGACUAAAAGGCGACAUGUUCAACAGUUAGGUGUGGCGGAGAUGCGUAUGUUGAGAUGGAUGUGUGGCCACACGAGGAAGGAUCGAGUCCGGAAUGAUGAUAUACGAGAUAGAGUUGGGGUAGCACCAAUUGAGGAGAAGCUUGUCCAACAUCGUUUGAGAUGGUUUGGGCAUAUUCAGCACAGGCCUCCAGAAGCUCCAGUGCAUAGCGGACGGCUAAAGCGUGCGGAGAAUGUCAAGAAAGGGCGGGGU